UACAGAGGUCUCAAGCGUUGUUCGGAAUCACUGGGCGUAAAGCGCACGUAGGCGGAUGUGUCAGUCAGGGGUGAAAUCCCGGAGCUCAACUUCGGAACUGCCUUUGAUACAGCACAUCUGGAGUCCGGAAGAGGUGGGUGGAAUUCCUAGUGUAGAGGUGAAAUUCGUAGAUAUUAGGAAGAACACCGGUGGCGAAGGCGGCCCACUGGUCCGGUACUGACGCUGAGGUGCGAAAGCGUGGGGAGCAAACAGG
rnacentral:rRNA from 1 species